UAAAAGAAAAAAAACAUGAAAUUAAAAACUUAAUAUCUUAUAUUUAUUUUGUUUAAUAUAAGUGUUAUUAAAAUAUUAUAUUAGGGUUCUUUACUGUCCUAGGCAUUAUCUUUCAGUAGCCGCAUCUGAUAUGCGAGAUUACGGAUUAUUAAUUUUAGUUAGUAGAAUCUCCUGUAAAAUAAAAAACUAUAUCCAUUUAAGUUCCCCUAAAAAGCAAAAUUCAAGCAAAAGGGUUACAGACUUAACAAUUUUAGAUACUGCUGGUAUCCCUAAUACUAUUUAUACAAUGUACGAGUAAAGUAAGUAUUUUAUUAUUUGGUUAUAUAUAAUAGGUAUUUUUUAAUAUUUUCUUUUAUUUUUGGAAAAAUAUGUGACUUUAAUUUUUUAUGGCAAGAACUUAAAGAAAAAUUAAAAUUUGAUGGUUGUCGCAUACCAUUAUGCUCAGUUCUAAAAGAAAUUGGCUUUAAAUGGAAAAAAGAUGAUCCUAGAAGGAGGCUUUUAGAACUGCCUAAUAUAGCAUUUAAACGUGUCGAUUUUUAAAGUCGUAUAUAAAAGAAAAAGAGAAAGAAAAGAGCAUAUAUAAAUUUGUCUUCCUAGACGAAAAAGAUUUUUCAAAAUGGAACCAUAGGGCGUUCAUGGCAGGAUGAUAAUAAAAAGAGCGUGAGAAAGAUUAAAAGCGAUGGUAAGAGGUAAGAUUAGAAUUAUCUUUUAUCUAAACUUAUCAUUUAUCAUUUAUCUAAACUUUUUAUGUAUAAAUAUUAUUUUAGAUAUAUCAUACUUAAUGCGAAUGGGAAAUAAAGAUGGAUUUAUUGAAAACGCAGAUCUUAUUUUUUCCCUAAUGAGUCAAACAAGCAACUACCAUGGUGAAAUGAAUCGGGAAUAUGUUUGCUUUGAUUUGUUAAAAAAUUUAACUGAUCCAUCAUUAAUAAUUGUGGACAAAGCUCCUUGCCACAUCAUGCUCUUAAAUAAAAGAACUAAACAGUUCUUGAACAAAACCAGCAAUUCAGGAGUGGCUAAUUACCGAGAAUAUAAAGUCUUUAAACAAUAUGUUUAAAAGUGAACUUUUAAGAAUUGUUGCAAGAAAUAAAGCAAAGCAAAAAUAUUUUAUAGAUGAUCUGGUUGAGCAGUUCAGUCAUAAAGUUCUUCGCCUGCCACCAUAUCACUGUAUGUUUAAACCAAUCGAACAUAUAUGGGGCAUAUCCAAAUCCUAUUACAAUAAGCACAUUAGCAGGGAUGGCAAUUCACACCAAGAUUGCUUAAACAUGUGGCAUAGAGCACUGCAAACCAUAACACCUGAUAUAUAGAAAAAUACAAUAACACAUACGGAAAAGGAAAUUUUAAAAUGAGUGCACAGAAUCAGAUUAGUAGUAAUACCUACUAAACAAAACAUAUAAUUUUCGUAUUAUUAUAUAUUAUUGUAAUAUAUUUUAUAUUUGUUAAAAA